CUUAAACAGACUGCUUAAGUUAACGAUUGAGGAAGAGGGUCUUCUUUUGUGGUUUCUGGAGUUGAAAAACCAACGACCAUCAAUAUGGAGGGACGGGUAAGUCAUUGGCUUAAGUUAUUGUACGUGAGCUCCCAUCAUCUGCUUCAUUACA